CCUACGGGAGGCAGCAGUGAGGAAUAUUGGUCAAUGGACGCAAGUCUGAACCAGCCAUGCCGCGUGAGGGAUGAAGGUCUUCGGAUCGUAAACCUCUGUCAGCAGGGAAGAACGGUCACUGUGCUAAUCAGCAGUGAAUUGACGGUACCUGCAAAGGAAGCACCGGCUAACUCCGUGCCAGCAGCCGCGGUAAUACGGAGGGUGCGAGCGUUAAUCGGAAUUACUGGGCGUAAAGCGCUCGUAGGCGGUAUGUCAAGUCAAGGGUGAAAUCCCCGCGCUCAACGUGGGAACUGCCUUUGAAACUGGCAAACUGGAGUGUGUGAGAGGAUAGUGGAAUUCCAGGUGUAGGAGUGAAAGCCGUAGAUAUCUGGAGGAACAUCAGUGGCGAAGGCGACUAUCUGGCACAUAACUGACGCUGAGGAGCGAAAGCGUGGGUAGCAAACAGGAUUAGAUACCCCUGUAGUC
rnacentral:rRNA from 1 species